AAGACCAGUUCACUAUGAGUCGCUCUGAAGACGGAAGGUGCCUUAUGCCGAGCUGAUAAGCACAGUCUUUCACGACAAGGACACAGCCCCAAGUGCCAGGGUCAAGUCCAUGAGGUUGACCGUUAAUGAGUUGAAACACUCCAUGAGCAAUGGACAAAAAAGUUGCCAGAUUACCGACGGGAGACUCUAGGGUAGAAUCCCUGUUGAUAUACUCCUUUUCAUACUCGAAGGUGGAGUCCCGGUUUGAGAGAGCCGCCUAGAUACUGAAGAGCAAAGCAGAUGACCAGAGCCACCAGUGCUGAGUUGCUAGAGCAAAAAUCAGCAUCGACAGACGGUUGCAGGGUCAAAAGAGCAAUAAGUCAGAGCCAGGCUGUAGGAGCUGCAAUUGAUCUGAGAAAGAGCCAGUAAGUCCAAGAGCAACAAGUGCCAAUGCCAGAACACACAGACAGAGCAAAGAGCCAGAGAAAUUGAUCUUAGGCCUGCAAAGACUUCACUGAAGGAGUAGGAGUCGAACCUCACAGGAGGAUGGGGCUAUCCAAACCUGUAUAUCUAGUUUUGAGAGGAGUAUGCGAAAAUCCGAACCUCUGGGUUACUGUAAUAGAUUCAGGACCAUGGAGUCC
rnacentral:misc_RNA from 1 species